rnacentral:rRNA from 1 species
GAUGAACGCUGGCGGCGUGCCUAAUACAUGCAAGUCGAGCGAACAGACGCGGCGCUUGCUCCUCUGACGUUAGCGGCGGACGGGUGAGUAACACGUGGAUACCCUACCUAUAAGACUGGGAUAACUUCGGGAAACCGGCGCUAAUACCGGAUAAUAUAUUGAACCGCAUGGUUCAAUAGUGAAAGUCGGUUUUGCUGUCACUUAUAGAUGGAUCCGCGCCGCAUUAGCUAGUUGGUAAGGUAACGGCUUACCAAGGCAACGAUGCGUAGCCGACCUGAGAGGGGGGUCGGCCACACUGGAGCGGAGACACGGUCCAGACUCCUACGAGAGGCAGCAGUAGGGAAUGUUCCGCAGUGGGCGAAAGCCUGACGGAGCAGCGCCGCGUGAGUGAUGAAGGUCUUCGGAUCGUAAAACUCUGUUAUUAGGGAAGAACAAAUGUGUAAGUAACUAUGCACGUCUUGACGGUACCUAGUCAGAAAGCCACGGCUAACUACGUG